rnacentral:rRNA from 1 species
AUUGAACGCUGGCGGCAUGCUUUACACAUGCAAGUCGAACGGGCUUAGGGGCUUGCUCCUAAGUUAGUGGCGAACGGGUGAGUAAUACAUCGGAACGUACCGUGUAGUGGGGGAUAACGUAGCGAAAGUUACGCUAAUACCGCAUACGAUCUACGGAUGAAAGUGGGGGACCUUCGGGCCUCACGCUAUACGAGCGGCCGAUGUCUGAUUAGCUAGUUGGUGAGGUAAAGGCUCACCAAGGCAACGAUCAGUAGCGGGUCUGAGAGGAUGAUCCGCCACACUGGGACUGAGACACGGCCCAGACUCCUACGGGAGGCAGCAGUGGGGAAUUUUGGACAAUGGGCGAAAGCCUGAUCCAGCCAUGCCGCGUGUCUGAAGAAGGCC